rnacentral:rRNA from 1 species
GACGGAGCAACGCCGCGUGAGUGAUGAAGGUUUUCGGAUCGUAAAGUUCUGUUGUUAGGGAAGAACAAGUACCGUUCGAAUAGGGCGGUACCUUGACGGUACCUAACCAGAAAGCCACGGCUAACUACGUGCCAGCAGCCGCGGUAAUACGUAGGUGGCAAGCGUUGUCCGGAAUUAUUGGGCGUAAAGGGCUCGCAGGCGGUUCCUUAAGUCUGAUGUGAAAGCCCCCGGCUCAACCGGGGAGGGUCAUUGGAAACUGGGGAACUUGAGUGCAGAAGAGGAGAGUGGAAUUCCACGUGUAGCGGUGAAAUGCGUAGAGAUGUGGAGGAACACCAGUGGCGAAGGCGACUCUCUGGUCUGUAACUGACGCUGAGGAGCGAAAGCGUGGGGAGCGAACAGGAUUAGAUACCCUGGUAGUCCACGCCGUAAACGAUGAGUGCUAAGUGUUAGGGGGUUUCCGCCCCUUAGUGCUGCAGCUAACGCAUUAAGCACUCCGCCUGGGGAGUACGGUCGCAAGACUGAAACUCAAAGGAAUUGACGGGGGCCCGCACAAGCGGUGGAGCAUGUGGUUUAAUUCGAAGCAACGCGAAGAACCUUACCAGGUCUUGACAUCCUCUGACAAUCCUAGAGAUAGGACGUCCCCUUCGGGGGCAGAGUGACAGGUGGUGCAUGGUUGUCGUCAGCUCGUGUCGUGAGAUGUUGGGUUAAGUCCCGCAACGAGCGCAACCCUUGAUCUUAGUUGCCAGCAUUCAGUUGGGCACUCUAAGGUGACUGCCGGUGACAAACCGGAGGAACGUGGG